CCGUGACCUAAUGUCCCCCCUGGUCCCCACCCAUGAGCAGCGGGUGGAGACCUUAAUUAAAUAAAUAAUGGGGUACCUAAUUUCUCCCCCAGGUCCCCACUGAUGAAUGGCGGGUGGGGACCCUAAUAAAAUAAAGGGGGGACCUAAUGUCCCCCCUGGACCCCACACAUUAGCAGCAGGUAGGUGCCCUAAUAAUAUAAAUAAUGGGGGGACCUAAUGCCUGGUCUCCAUACAUGAGCAGCAG